rnacentral:rRNA from 1 species
CCUCUACUUGUAAGCUAUCGCUGAGGGAUGGGCCUGCGGGCCAUUAGCUGUUGGUGAGGUAACGGCUCACCAAGGCUGUGAUGGCUAGCUGGUCUGAGAGGAUGACCAGCCACACUGGGACUGAGACACGGCCCAGACUCCUACGGGAGGCAGCAGUGGGGAAGUAUUGCGCAAUGGGCGAAAGCCUGACGCAGCGACGCCGCGUGGGUGAUGAAGGCCUUCGGGUCGUAAAGCCCUGUCGCAGGGGAAGAAUAAGCAUCGGUAUAAUACGCCGGUGCCCUGACGGUACCCUGCAAGAAAGCACCGGCUAACUCCGUG